rfam:Acanthamoeba castellanii str. Neff unplaced genomic scaffold scf7180000084741, whole genome shotgun sequence.
GCCCUCUUAGCUCAGCUGGUAGAGCGCACGACUGAAGAUCGUGAGGUCGCUGGUUCAAACCCGGCAGAGGGCA